UACAGAGGUCCCAAGCGUUGUCCGGAAUCAUUGGGCGUAAAGAGCGUGUAGGCGGCCUGAUAAGUCGGCUGUGAAAGUCAAGGGCUCAACCCUUGAAUGCCGGCCGAUACUGUCAGGCUAGAAUCCGGAAGAGGCGAGUGGAAUUCCUGGUGUAGCGGUGAAAUGCGCAGAUAUCAGGAGGAACACCUAUGGCGAAGGCAGCUCGCUGGGACGGUAUUGACGCUGAGACGCGAAAGCGUGGGGAGCGAACAGG
rnacentral:rRNA from 1 species